AAACUUAUGAAACUUAAACUUUUUUAUACAACUAUAUUAGGUUACUUGUCACUAUCUUCGUUGUUUUUUAUCAUAUAUGUAGGCAACCUAUUGAGAUUCAGCUAUGUGCAGUUUCUGGGAAGGACUACUAGUUGGGCAGUAACAAGUAUCAAGAUACUUGUUUUCGGCUCUUGUGUCUUGCUAGGAUGUGGUAUCAGCUCCUAGACCGAGUUGCCCUCCUAUUAGGAGAAUAACAACUACAAGAGAUGAGGAGGAUAAUGCAUUGGAAUAUGGAUUGCCAUCUUCUCACACUAUAUACACAGUUUGCUUGUCUAGAUACCUUUUGCAUUGCAUCCUAUCUUAUGCUCAGAAUGAAGAGGCCUAUGUGAAAUUUGCUAGAUUUGCUCUUGUUUGCUUGCUCGUUGGUCUCAUUGGUUUGGUCCUGUUGAUAUCAUUGGUGGGCUUGCUGUUGGUUGGCUGAUCCUUUCCUUUUGGCUUACUGUUCAUGAAUAUGUCGAUAGUUUUGUAGUCUCAGGACAAAAUGCUUGCAAGGUGAGCUUUGGGGCUGUACACGUUUCUACAUUGGUGUGGCUGCUGUUGGGAUUGAAUGCAUGAAUCCCCUUUUUUUUUGGUUUAAGAUUCAAUGUUCAAGCUUUGUGAACCCUUUUUAGGUUAUGAUGACUACUUUGGUUUAGAUUGUUAUUAGCUUACUUUGUGUCUUUUCCAGCUAGCUCACCUUCUGACAAUACUUAAAUAUGAGGGAAGUACAUGCCCUUGUUUUGAAUUGGUUGAAGGAUCGUUUCAUAUGCUUUCAGGGGUGUAAUACUUUCAACUACUUUGUUGGAUUGGAAGGAUCUGUUACCUAGGUGUUUGUUAAUCUUACUGCUCUGUUUACUUAUUUAUUUAUUUUUUGUUGCUCCUACUCAGUCUCAUGCUUUUCUUUUCUUUUUUCAACUUAUUUUGUUUGUGGACUCGUUGCUGCUGAUUUUAUAUAGGUACUUUUUUUUUUUUUCAUUUUAUUUAGCAUAAGUCUCUUUCACUCCUCAAACAAAAAAUAUAACGAUGAAAAACGUUUCUCUGUCUUCUAAUUGAACAUGCAGUCAUCAUGUUGAGUCUUGUAUGAAAAUGGUAUUCGCUUUUGCUGUGUCUUGUAUCUAGUUCUCAGGCAGAGGAUUGAACACUUGGUCUUCUAUCAACAAAACAAAAAGAAACAAAUGUAUUAAUACUCAAAUAGCUAUUUGUUUAGUGACAUGACAGAAAAUUAAUACAUAUACCAAAGUAGAGGUAUUUGCUUAUUCUCUCCCUGUCUGCAUUGCUUUAGAUCAAAAAUGAAACCUUGGUAAGAGUUUAGGAUAACUUAUACAUGCUGAUCUUAUCUCUAAGUAUGAAGGCAACUUAUACAUGCUGAUCUUAUUUCAGUGUUCCAACCUUACAACAAUAUACUAGAUAUAAAGCAGCUACUUAAUUUUUUUUCUUGAACAAUCAAGACUCGUCUAGUUAAUGAUAGAAUACUCUAUAUAGCUCAUUUGUUAAGUCCUAGCUUACAGGUAUAGUAUGGAAUAAUUGUGGUAUGUCCUGCU